rnacentral:rRNA from 1 species
UACGGGGGGGGGCAAGCGUUGUUCGGAAUUACUGGGCGUAAAGGGCUCGUAGGCGGCCAACUAAGUCCGACGUGAAAUCCCCAGGCUUAACCUGGGAACUGCGUCGGAUACUGGAUGGCUUGAAUCCGGGAGAGGGAUGCGGAAUUCCAGGUGUAGCGGUGGAAUGCGUAGAGAUCCGGAAGAACACCGGUGGCGAAGGCGGCCCGCUGGGCAGUGACUGACGCUGAGGCGCGACAGCGUGGGGAGCAAACAGG